CGCGUCUUAGCAUGCAAGUCGAGCGGUAUUGGGGGGCUUGCCCUCCGAGAGAGCGGCGGACUGGUGAGUAACGCGUGGGUGACCUGCCUUGAGGCUGGGGAUAGCCGUUAGAAAUAGCGGGUAAUACCGAAUGUGGUUGGGGGGCGAUAGUCUUCCAAAGAAAGGGGCUCCGGCCCCGCCUUGAGAUGGGCCCGCGUCCUAUUAGGCAGUUGGCGGGGUAAGGGCCCACCAAACCGAAGAUAGGUAGCCGGCCUGAGAGGGUGAACGGCCACACUGGGACUGAGAUACGGCCCAGACUCCUACGGGAGGCAGCAGCUAAGAAUAUUCCGCAAUGGGGGAAACCCUGACGGAGCGACGCCGCGUGGAUAAGGAAGGCCGAAAGGUUGUAAAGUCCUUUUACCGGAGAAGAAUAAACGUGGCAGGGAAUGGCCGCGGGAUGACGUUAUCCGGUGAAUAAGCCCCGGCUAAUUACGUGCCAGCAGCCGCGGUAACACGUAAGGGGCGAGCGUUGUUCGGAAUUAUUGGGCGUAAAGGGCGCGUAGGCGGUUACGUAAGUCUGGCGUGAAAGGCGUGAGCUUAACUCACGGACUGCGCUGGAAACUGGGUGACUUGGGUCAUGGAGGGGUAGUUGGAAUUCCUGGUGUAGGGGUGAAAUCUGUAGAUAUCAGGAAGAACACCGGUGGCGAAGGCGAACUGCCAGCCAAUGACUGACGCUGAGGCGCGAAAGUGCGGGGAGCAAACAGGAUUAGAUACCCUGGUAGUCCGCACUAUAAACGAUGCACACUAGGUGUUGGGCCGAGCGGUUCAGUGCCGGAGCGAACGCGAUAAGUGUGCCGCCUGGGGAGUAUGCCCGCAAGGGUGAAACUCAAAGGAAUUGACGGGGGCCCGCACAAGCGGUGGAGCAUGUGGUUUAAUUCGAUGAUACGCGAGGAACCUUACCUGGGUUUGACAUGCAGCGGACGGCGCGAGACGCGCGGCGUAGCAUACGCGCUGUCACAGUGCUGCAUGCUGUCGUCAGCUCGUGCGUGAGUGUGGUAGUCCCGCACGAGCGCACCCUACUGCAGUGCAGCAUAGUGGGGACUC
rnacentral:rRNA from 1 species